AGCAAGCUCCAGGCCCAUCAGGGUUCAAUUCCACAACCCCAGAAUCAAGACCUGAGCCAAAAUCAAGAGUUGGACACUCAACUGACUGAGCCACCCAGGCAUCCCUGUUCUCUUUUGUUUUAAAUUGAAUGACUUUAUUACUUUUUUUCCUUAAUGUUGAAAUGAUACACACUGGUUAUUAAAGUAAUUUAAACAACACAGAAAAGGCUAAAGAAAAAAGUAAAACUCAGAGUAAGUUAUCCUUCAGAAACAUUUGCUCCUUCUCCACAUCCUCAUGGAUAGAGUGUAUGUCUUCACAUUUUGACCUUGGGUGUGGCCCAGUGACUUGCUUUGAGUUACAGAUGUGGAGUGAUCAAAGAUAUGAAAGGCAUUUGUAUAGUUGAAUUUUCACUCCUGCAUCUCUGCCAUCACCAUGAGAACGGGGCGGGGCUAGGCCACUGGGCAUGAGGAAGUGAUGGCCAUAGGGAGGAGAGCCACCUAGCCAAGCUGAGCCCAUAUUGACAAACCCCCAGCUAACCCUCAGAAACCCAAGUUCAAUAAAUACUUAUCCUGGAAUGAAAUAUUGUGCUUUGUUACCCAGGAAAAGGUAAGCAGGUCAACCCUAAAUCCCCUCUCAUAGAUAUAAGACUUUCUAUUUAGAUGAACUCUCUUCCAGAACUUCCUGAGUGCACAUAAAUAUAUGUUAGUACACAAUUACAUUUACUGUUCCCUUUGCCUGAAACCUUGUUCCCCAGCAUCUUGUGACAGGCUGCUUCAUAAUAUUCAAGGUUCAUCUGAAGUUGGGUUUCUUUUCUUUUGCAGUUUCAUUUAUAAUUGACGUGUAGCACUGUGUAAAUGGAAGAUGUACUACAUGAUGAUUUGGUGCACAUAUAUACUGCAAAAUUAUGGGGACUAGGAUAGAGCAAAUUAACACAUUGCCCCAUAUAAUCACUAUUUUCUUUGGUGUGGUUAAAGAAAGUCUUGGUAGCUCACCCCUUGGGAGUGGUGAUGUGGUCAUCCUCUUUCAACGAGUCUGUUUUGCACACCCCUCUUACAUUGGGAGAGUUCAUUAAUGCUCAGAAUGUUGAAGUGGAGGGAAGAAACCCCAGCUGCUGAGAACCAAGAAAGUUGCUCAGCAUGUGUCAGAUGACCGCUGGCCAACCCCACUGCUGUAUCUGUCUCUACUGGAUGGGGACAAGGUCUUUCCAUAUGGCACAAGAGAGGUGAACCAGAGGUGAAUCGUCUUGUAUCACCUGCUAGAAGACAUCUGCUGGCCAUCGGGGAUGAAUGGGCAUCUUAAUGUCUCUCCUCUAUGUCAAUUCACCAUUGUUCCAUCCAGUACUUGACUGCACCGUAUUUUCCUUAGCAACUCUGAUACCAAGAUUCAGUUGGCAAAUGUGUUGUUUGGACUUUUAUUCUUGGUGGUUGUCAUGGCAAUGGUUUUUCCUAAUGUUCAUGUAGUUGAGUCCUUUCCUGAGAUUGGUAACCAGUGCAUGGUGUUCUGCUCCCUUGGGAUUGAUAACCAAUGCAUGCUGCUCUGUUAGAAAAUGCAUAUGUGGAUUAUUUAUUUUUGUCUUUAUAAACACAGUUGAAACAAACAUUCUUGUGUUUCCAUCUUUGCACAUUUUUCUGAAGUAUAACUGUUGGGUUAAAAUGUAUGUACAGAGAAGAUAUUUCUAAAACCAGAGAUAAUUAGACAAAUCACCAAAAAUUAGAAUUUUAUUUCAAAAGUAGUAAUUUCAUUAUUUUUUUA